CAUCACUCUUAACAUACAGGUGAGAGACACACGCACAAAUACACACGUGCAUAUCAUCACUCUUAACAUACAGGUGAGAGACACACGCACAAAUACACACGUGCAUAUCAUCACUCUUAACAUACAGGUGAGAGACACACGCACAAAUACACACGUGCAUAUCAUCACUCUUAACAUACAGGUGAGAGACACGCACAAAUACACACCUGCAUAUCAUCACUCUUAACAUACAGGUGAGAGACACACGCACAAAUACACACCUGCAUAUCAUCACUCUUAACAUACAGGUGAGAGACACACACACAAAUACACACGUGCAUAUCAUCACUAUUAACAUACAGGUGAGAGACACACGCACAA